UGUUGGACAGUUCCUUCUCCAGUGGCCUUUAGCAUGACAGUGAAAAUAUUUUUCCUUUGCUUCGACCUUAUCAGAAACUUCUUUCUUUGGCCUGUUCUCUUUUUUCUAUUUCUUAGUGAAUUUAACCUUCUUCCUAGUAGACUUUUUCUUGAAAAAAGUCUGCUCCACAGCGAGAACAGUACCCUUUGAACUCUUCAAGAUUCCCUCCG
rnacentral:lncRNA from 1 species